rnacentral:rRNA from 1 species
AGCGAACGCUGGCGGUAGGCCUAACACAUGCAAGUCGAACGGCAGCACAGUAAGAGCUUGCUCUUACGGGUGGCGAGUGGCGGACGGGUGAGGAAUACAUCGGACUCUACUUUUUCGUGGGGGAUCACGUAGGGAAACUUACGCUAAUACCGCAUACGCCCUACGGGUGAAAGCAGGGGAUCUUCGGACCUUGCGCGAAUGAAUGAGCCGAUGUCGGAUUAGUUAGUUGGCGGGGUAAAGGCCCACCAAGGCGACGAUCCGUAGCUGGUCUGAGAGGAUGAUCAGCCACACUGGAACUGAGACACGGUCCAGACUCCUACGGGAGGCAGCAGUGGGGAAUAUUGGACAAUGGGCGCAAGCCUGAUCCAGCCAUACCGCGUGUGUGGAGAAGGCCUUCGGGUUGUAAAGCCCUUUUGUGGGGAAAGAAAAGCAGCAGGUUAAUACCCCGCUGUUCUGACGGUACCCAAAGAAGAAGCACCGGCUAACUUCGUG